GAUGAAGAACGUAGCGAAAUGCGAUAGGUAGUGUGAAUUGCAGAUGUAACGUGAAUCAUCGAAUCUUUGAACGCAAAUUGCACUCUCUGGUAUUCCGGGGAGUAUGCCUGUUUGAGGGUCGCCAAAUCAACAUCGAAAUUCAUUUGCUUUUGUAAAUGUUUAUCGGAUUUGAGCCGUCUUUUUAUUUUUUUUAAAGUGGCUUAAAAUGUAUUUUUUUGGUAUCGAAAAACGUUAUUUUACGAUCCAAUCGAUCAAAAAACAAACGUUUCGAAUGCCGUCUUUUAAUGUAAUACGUUAGACUGUGUCAUACAAUCAUGGUUUCAUUCGUAUACGAGUUUAAUUUUUGACCUCAAAUCAGGUAAGAACACCCGCUGAACUUAAGCAUAUCAUAAGCGGAGGA
rnacentral:misc_RNA from 1 species